rnacentral:rRNA from 1 species
AUUGAACGCUGGCGGCAGGCCUAACACAUGCAAGUCGAGCGGAUGAAGGGAGCUUGCUCCUGGAUUCAGCGGCGGACGGGUGAGUAAUGCCUAGGAAUCUGCCUGGUCGUGGGGGAUAACGUCCGGAAACGGGCGCUAAUACCGCAUACGUCCUGAGGGAGAAAGUGGGGGAUCUUCGGACCUCACGCUAUCAGAUGAGCCUAGGUCGGAUUAGCUAGUUGGUGGGGUAAUGGCCUACCAAGGCGACGAUCCGUAACUGGUCUGAGAGGAUGAUCAGUCACACUGGAACUGAGACACGGUCCAGACUCCUACGGGAGGCAGCAGUGGGGAAUAUUGGACAAUGGGCGAAAGCCUGAUCCAGCCAUGGCGCGUGUGUGAAGAAGGUCUUCGGAUGGUAAAGCACUUUAAGUUGGGAGGAAGGGCAGUAAGUUAAUACGUUGCUGUUUUGACGUUACCAACAGAAUAAGCACCGGCUAACUUCGUG